GUUCGAAAAAGGCAAACCACUCGAAAGGGUGGGACGCAAAGCCAGCGGCCUACGUCCUCAAAUACCAAAGGAUAAGGCGGCAGGGUUGCCGGG
rnacentral:ncRNA from 1 species